AUGCAGAUGGCAGCGCGUGCCCAGCAGGGAGCAUGGAAGUGCAGUGGAGGAAGAAAGCAAGCUGAGAAGCACUCUGAGAAGAUAAGGAGAUUAACCGGUGGGAGAGGUGCUUCACACCUCAAGCUGCACCAGUCCUCACCUCUCACCGUCUGCUCUGUGGCUCCCAGUGCUGACUCUGGAAGACGGAGUCUCCUCGCGUUGCCCAGGCUGGAGUGCAGUGGUGUGAUCUCGGCUCACUGCAACCUCCAUCCCGUGAGUUCAAGCGAUUCUCAUGUCUCAGCCUCCCAAGUAGCUGGGAUUACAGGUGCCUGCCACCACGCCUGGCUAAUUUUUGUAUAGUAGAGAUGGGGUUUCACCAUGUUGCCCUGGCUGGUCUUGAACUCCUGACCUCAGGUGAUCUACCCGCCUGGGCCUUCCAAAGUACUGGGAUUACAGGCGUGAGCCACCACACCUGGCCAGUGAACAUACAUUUUCAAUUAUCCUGGGUAUAUAUCUAGAAGUAGGAUUGUGGGGUCAUAUGAUAACAGCUGUAUAUUUAAUGUUUUGAAUAACUACCAAACUGUUUUCCACAGCUGCACCAUUGGAAAAUGGAUACCCCACUUUACCUUUCCACCAGCAAUGUAUGAAAGUCCUUUUGUCCAUUUUUAAUUGAGUUAAUGAAGCAGUAUUUUAAAAGUAAAAAGUGGAUAUACCUUAUGUAUCCAAACACAGGAAGUUGGUUUAAUAAAUUAGGACACUCCAUAGGACAGAAUAAUGCUGAACCUAUUACCAAAAAAGGUAGAUCUAUAAGUGUUAACAGAAUAUGUUAGACAAAGAAAGUAAGUAGCCCUAUUUGCAUGACUACCAAAGCUGUAUCUAUGUGUUUGUGCCAGAAAAGUCUGGAAGAAUAAACAACAAACCAAAUAAGGGCAGUGAAAAUGCAGGGCAUGUGAUGGGGGAUUCAAGUUUUACUUUCUCAUCUUUGGUAUUGGUUCUUUUUAAAAUAAACAUGUAUUUCUGUGGUAAUUUUUAAGCCAUAUAUUUAGGUAAAACAGAUAUCAAAGACAGUUUGUGCUUGGCAUAAGGUUAUUAGGGGAAGGUUUGAGAAGUUCUAUGAACUCCUACUGGAAAGCAACUUCAUGUCAAAAUUUGUUAAAUGGGGCAUUUUUGUCUUUCUUGUUAAAAUGUUCAUCGAAACAUUGGCUCUAGCUGUGAAAAAUUCUCUCAUCAUAAAAAGGAUUAUUGACAAUAAGUACAACAGAAAGUACUAAAAUUAAAUUUAGCUCAUGAUACAAAUACUAAGUGAAAAACAUCAAGAUACAGAAAUGUCAUCAGUAUACAUGAACAGUAUGACCUCUGUGGUCUCAAAUCUAUUCUUGCAUACACCAAAAUGUAAAAAGAAGUUUCUCUGAGUCGUGGGAUUAUAGGUGAUUAUCUUCUUCCUUAUACCUUUUUUCCCCCAAACUUUCUACAAUCAUAUGUAUAACAUUUACAGUUUUAAAAUGCUUUAAAUUUAGUUUGUAGCUUGACCAUGUUUAACCAGUGAGGUCUAAAAUGCUAGCUAUGUGAUAUGACUUAAGGCCCAUAUGACUCAAAAAUUGGAGUGUCCAUUAAAAAAUAGUAUUUUCCAGGAAUAUGCAGUGACGCGAAGAUGAAAAUGCUAUUAUAUAAGUAGUAUAUGGCAUACAAUUCGAAUUUUUUAAAAAGCACACACAUAUAUGCUUAUAAAGAUACUAGAAGAAAACAUAAAAUGCCAACAAGUCAGUUAUUUUUAUUGGCAUAGGGCAUGUAGGCAAUUACCUUCCCCUUUUUGUGUCCUUCUGUUUCCAGUUAUUUAUUUACUUAUUUGACAUGGAGUCUCACUCUGUUGCCCAGGGUGGAGUGCAGUGGCGUGAUCUCAGUUCACUGCAACAUCUGCCUCCUGGCUUCAAGUGGUUCUCCUGCCUCAGCCUCCCGAGUAGCGGGAUUACAGGUGCAUGCCACAAUGCCAGGCUAAUUUUUGUAUUUUUUGUAGAAAUGGGGUUUCCUUAUGUUGGCCAGGCUGGUUUCAAAUUCCUGGCCUCAAGUGAUCCACCCGCCUCAGCCUCCCAAAGUGUUGGGAUUACAGGUGUGAGCCACCGCACCCAGCCCUCUGUUUCAAGUUACUUAUAAUGAACAUUAUAAGUAUCUUUUAUAAUUUGAAAAAAUUCGCAAUUUAGUUUGAGAAGAAAAACAUUGCCGCUAUCUAGAUAUGGAAUAUCGGCCAUCUUUUCUACUUGUCUUUCUCUUCCGUGCCUCCCAGCCAUCCUUCUAUUCCUCCUCUACUUGGUGCCAUGGGUUCCUCUCGCCUUCCAUUUCCAUAGCUGCUCCUCUGUCUGGAGCUCAUUUCUUCUUCUGCAGAACAUAGCAAUCUCUUAACCUAGUUUGUUUUCCUGCCGUCCCUUCUCUCUCUCUCUCUCUCUCUCUCUCUCUCUCUCUCUCUCUAACCUAUUUCUGGAAGCACAAAUUCUGGAAUAAUCCACAUGGAUGACGCUGCUCCCUUGCUUAACAGCCCGUGGCUCACCGUCCUAAUGCUAUUACUGGGAGUGCUCAGCCUGACCUUGUCACUGGCUGCCUUUUACAGGGCUGGGGAGUGAGGUGCAACAGUUACCAAGCCCCACCAUGGGCCAGGCUCUGGAGGGCAGGCCCUUUUUUGUUAACUGACCUUUUGUGACAAAACCAUGCGGCUUGACCAUGCUAGCUUGGAAGGGUUCCAAAGUGUGUAUUCACGCUACUUACAGACUCAGCUCUGCCGCUGACCUUGGACUUAAUCCCCCUGCUUCUUCUCAGCUGUAACACAGAUGUCCUGCCCCCCUCCCAGGAUAGUUUUGAGAGGCAAGGGCUGGGCACUCUGUGGCAGUUGGUAGCUGGUUUCCUUUCGAGCUGUUGUCCCUAAGGGAUGCCCUGUAUGCCUUUGUUGCCUAGAGGUCUCUGGAACUGUGCUGGCUGCCCCUUUGCUGUAGGAGCUCAGCCCAACUCAUGAGCUCCCCAUUCUCUCUCCAGCCCCAGGGUGGGCUCCACAUGGCAGAGGUCUCUCAUCAGAAAUGUCCCCACUGUCACCUCCCCCAUAAAUGCAUCCCUCUCAGAUUUGACUCUGUUGAAAUGUUCAGACCACCACUCCCAAUUAUCUUUAUGUUCAGGGAGUCAUUUCUUUGAAUCUUGAAGGGACUCACUCUGGAACACCUACCAAAUUGACAGGGCCACACUGGCCUCCCUUCCCCCUUAACCGCUUUGUCCUCAUCUCCAGCAAUGGCAACAUAACCCCUCGGUCUCCCAAAGAAAUCUAGGCCACAGCACCCACAUCUCCCUCUCCUCAACCCCACAUGCCAAAUCCAGCUCCUUCUCUUUCUCUUUCCUAAGCAUGGACCAAGUCCAUCCCACUACAUUGCUCUGUGGGCCUAAAAGGAAGAGGCUGUAGCACAAAACAAGAUUUAAGGAGUUUACCUGAGCCAAAGUGAGGACAGAUGCCUGGAAGGCCCAGACCCAAGUAACCUUGAACAUUAUCUCUGUUUGGCCUUUGUUACAAGCAGUUUUUUUUUUUUAAAGGUAAAAAAGAGGGACAGGGAGUUGGCUGAUACAAAGUUGUCAGGAAUUCUCAUUGGUUUACAGAAAUAACAUUAAUUAGUGAUUGGCUAUACAUUGUUACACUACAGGGUGUGGGUUAUAGUGUCCAGUGUGGCAUUAUUAGGUUGUUUUUUAGCUACUUCUGUGAAUAGCAAGCAGUUUCAAGAGAUGAGGCCAGGGAUGGUGGCUCACAUCUGUAAUCCCAGCACCUUGGGAGGCCAAGGUGGGCAGAUAACUUGAGGUCAGGAGUUCGAGACCAGCCUGGCCAACAUGGUGAAACCCUGUCUCUACUAAAAAUACAAAAAUUAGCCUGGCAUGGUGGUUUAUGCCUAUAAUCCCAACUACUUGGGAGGCUGAGGCAGGAAAAUCCCUUAAACCCGGGAGAAUGAGGUUGCAGUGAGCCAAGAUUGUGCCACUGCACUCCAGCCUGGGAGACAGAGAGAUACUCUGUCUCAAAAUAACAAUAACAAUAAUAAAAAUAAAAAGAUGAAUACACAGCUGAAAGUGGGGACUAGGACGUUAUUGCUGUCUCAUUUUCAUGACUCUCUGGGCCUGAUAAUUUAAAAGGGCUUGCAUUCCUCAGAUAAAAGUUACUUUCUCACCUUUAGUCCAUGACUUCCUCGCGUCUUGUCUGAACCGUUGCCAUAGGCUCCUCUCAUUUUUUCCUUCGCAUCUCCAGCCUCACCCUGCCCCUUCCCCUAUCCCUCCUUCCCAAGGCAGCCACUGUUCCCGCUACUGCUGCCACUCAGGGCACUGGCGCACUCUCUGUAUUACCAACCUCGAGCUAAGUGCUUUAUGCACUGACUCUUAUCAUUCUCCUGAUAACCCCAGAGGGUAGAUUUUAAGAUCUCCACUUGACAGAUUAGCAAAACCAAGCUUCAGAGAGGUCAGGUGACUAGCCUCAGUGGUGGUCCGGGACCAGGCAGCCACAGCCUGUCCCUGAAACCACUAGAUGCUUGUGCUGCCUCCCUGCAGUGGCCUGGGCCUGUCUGUUGACUUCCUUGUGAACAGACAGGGACCCUGGGUCUUUGGCUGUCAAAUGUUUAAUGAGUGGGUGCUUGCCUUGCAGGGAACCCACACCACCCUUACUCAGCCCCCUGGCUUUGGUUAGGGUCAGGCCCCAUCAUUUGCUGACCCUUAUCUUUACUGUAAAAGUUCACCCUGACGGGAGGAAUGUUUUUAAAAGUUUUAAAUUAUAGCAUCCAUUACAACAACAUUUUCCGUUGUGAAACCCCACAGAAUUGAUACUGUGCUGCCAGGAUCAGUCCUGACUGUGUCUGCCAGCUGCCAAAAAACCGGUUAGACGCGUUAAGUUCAGAAAACCUGUUGUCUGAUGCUUUCUCACUGAUUAAAUAAAUGAGUUGUAUUGACCCAGCAUGUUGUAAUAGUUGAAAGGUUAUAAAUUAAUUGCAUAUACUCUAUCCCACAUGUAGACGUCUGAAUAGCUACCAUGGUACAAGCAAGAAGAGAUUUUAGAAAGCUAAAACCAUUGGCUUUUCUCACACCCUCUCCC
rnacentral:lncRNA from 1 species